AGACCCGAAACCCGGUGAUCUAGCCAUGGGCAGGUUGAAGGUUGGGUAACACUAACUGGAGGACCGAACCGACUAAUGUUGAAAAAUUAGCGGAUGACCUGUGGCUGGGGGUGAAAGGCCAAUCAAACCGGGAGAUAGCUGGUUCUCCCCGAAAGCUAUUUAGGUAGCGCCUCGUGAAUUCAUCUCCGGGGGUAGAGCACUGUUUCGGCUAGGGGGCCAUCCCGGCUUACCAACCCGAUGCAAACUGCGAAUACCGGAGAAUGUUAUCACGGGAGACACACGGCGGGUGCUAACGUCCGUCGUGAAGAGGGAAACAACCCAGACCGCCAGCUAAGGUCCCAAAGUCAUGGUUAAGUGGGAAACGAUGUGGGAAGGCCCAGACAGCCAGGAUGUUGGCUUAGAAGCAGCCAUCAUUUAAAGAAAGCGUAAUAGCUCACUGGUCGAGUCGGCCUGCGCGGAAGAUGUAACGGGGCUAAACCAUGCACCGAAGCUGCGGCAGCGACGCUUAUGCGUUGUUGGGUAGGGGAGCGUUCUGUAAGCCUGUGAAGGUGGCCUGUGAGGGUUGCUGGAGGUAUCAGAAGUGCGAAUGCUGACAUAAGUAACGAUAAAGCGGGUGAAAAGCCCGCUCGCCGGAAGACCAAGGGUUCCUGUCCAACGUUAAUCGGGGCAGGGUGAGUCGACCCCUAAGGCGAGGCCGAAAGGCGUAGUCGAUGGGAAACAGGUUAAUAUUCCUGUACUUGGUGUUACUGCGAAGGGGGGACGGAGAAGGCUAUGUUGGCCGGGCGACGG
rnacentral:rRNA from 1 species